GCAGCACGGUGGCAUAGUGGUUAGCACUGUUGCCUCUCAGCAGGAAGGUCGUGGGUUCAAUUCCGGCCUGGGGCC